GACGAACGCUGGCGGCGUGCUUAACACAUGCAAGUCGAACGGAAAGGCCCCUUUGGGGGUACUCGAGUGGCGAACGGGCGAGGAACACGGGAGUAACCUGCCCUUUGCUGCGGGACAACUUCAGGAAACUGGGGCUAAUACCGGAUAGGAAUCCUUGCUGCAUGGUGGGGGGUGGAAAGCUUCCGCGGUUCUGGGUUGACUCGCGGCUUAUCCGCUCGUUGGUGGGGUAGUGGCUUACCAAGGCUUUGCCGGGUGGCCGGCCUGAGAGGGCGACCGGCCAAAUUGCGACUGAGAGACGGCCCCGACACCUACGGGAGGCAGAAGUGGGGAAGAGUGAACAAUGGGCGGAAGCCUGAUGCAGCAACGCCGCGUGCGGGAUGACGGGCUUCAGGUUGUAAUCCGGUUUCAGCAUGGGCGAAGCUUGUAGUGACGGUACCUGCAGAAGAAGCACCGGCUAACUACGUG
rnacentral:rRNA from 1 species